UACAGGUGUGAGCCACGUGCCUGGGGUGUCUGCAUUAUUUCUGAUCCUCAAAGGAACCGUCUUCUGAUGAAGCAGCAGCCACAGGGGUGGUGAGCCAGUGAUGAUGACUGUUAGCGGUGAGAGCUGGCACGUGAGGGAACGAGGACUCAAACUCUCGUGUGACUCCAGAUCCCACACCAUUGUCCAUCACAGUCCACACCACUUUUCUUCCCCCUGCUUGCCUUAGAUAAAUCUAAGAUCCCUUCAAACUUCCGGUACCUUCCAGUUGGGAAACAGGAGAGGCCCUGGUCAUAGGAUGCAGCACAUGGUGGCCUGCUGGAAUGCUGGGGGUACAAACAACGGGAAGGUGGCCGUGGACACCUCCAUGCCUAGAAGCUGGUCAGGAAGCUGCCCUCAUCACCACUCGAGUGCACAAGAUGAGGAAGCGGCAGACGGACUGGGGAGGGGACUUCCUGAGGCCCCAUCUGUUCCUCUUCCUCCACCGCACCACACUUCCCAUCCAGUUUCCAACUUCCACACCCAACUCAUUUCCCCAACAUCCAGAUGAGCAGUUUUGCAUCAACAUUUUUAUUGAAAUACAAAAAGUGCAAACGGUGAAAUA
rnacentral:lncRNA from 10 species